rnacentral:rRNA from 1 species
AGAGUUUGGUCCUGGCUCAGGACGAACGCUGGCGGCGCGCCUAACACAUGCAAGUCGAACGGAGAUUACAGGCGGAAGUUUUCGGAUGGAAGCUUGUAAACUUAGUGGCGGACGGGUGAGUAACACGUGAGCAACCUGCCUAUCAGAGGGGGAUAACGAUUGGAAACGAUCGCUAAUACCGCAUGACAUAGCGGAAUCGCAUGGUUCUGUUAUCAAAGGUUUUAUCGCUGAUAGAUGGGCUCGCGUCCGAUUAGAUAGUUGGUGGGGUAACGGCCUACCAAGUCGACGAUCGGUAGCCGGACUGAGAGGUCGAACGGCCACAUUGGGACUGAGACACGGCCCAGACUCCUACGGGAGGCAGCAGUGGGGGAUAUUGCACAAUGGGGGAAACCCUGAUGCAGCGACGCCGCGUGAGGGAAGACGGUCCUCUGGAUUGUAAACCUCUGUCUUCGGGGACGAAACGAGACGGUACCCGAGGAGGAAGCCACGGCUAACUACGUGCCAGCAGCCGCGGUAAUACGUAGGUGGCAAGCGUUGUCCGGAAUUACUGGGUGUAAAGGGAGCGUAGGCGGGCAGGCAAGUCAGGCGUGAAAUAUAUCGGCUCAACCGGUAACGGCGCUUGAAACUGCAGGUCUUGAGUGAAGUAGAGGUUGGCGGAAUUCCUAGUGUAGCGGUGAAAUGCGUAGAUAUUAGGAGGAACACCAGUGGCGAAGGCGGCCAACUGGGCUUUUACUGACGCUGAGGCUCGAAAGUGUGGGGAGCAAACAGGAUUAGAUACCCUGGUAGUCCACACCGUAAACGAUGAUUACUAGGUGUGGGGGGACUGACCCCUUCCGUGCCGGAGUUAACACAAUAAGUAAUCCACCUGGGGAGUACGGCCGCAAGGUUGAAACUCAAAGGAAUUGACGGGGGCCCGCACAAGCAGUGGAGUAUGUGGUUUAAUUCGACGCAACGCGAAGAACCUUACCAGGUCUUGACAUCCCGACGACCGGCCCGUAACGGGGCCUUCUCUUCGGAGCAUUGGAGACAGGUGGUGCAUGGUUGUCGUCAGCUCGUGUCGUGAGAUGUUGGGUUAAGUCCCGCAACGAGCGCAACCCUUAUCCUCAGUAGCCAGCAGGUAAAGCUGGGCACUCUGUGGAGACUGCCAGGGAUAACCUGGAGGAAGGUGGGGAUGACGUCAAAUCAUCAUGCCCCUUAUGAUCUGGGCUACACACGUGCUACAAUGGCGUAAACAAAGGGAGGCAAAGCCGCGAGGUGGAGCAAAUCCCAAAAAUAACGUCUCAGUUCGGACUGCAGUCUGCAACUCGACUGCACGAAGCUGGAAUCGCUAGUAAUCGCGAAUCAGAAUGUCGCGGUGAAUACGUUCCCGGGUCUUGUACACACCGCCCGUCACACCAUGGGAGUUGGUAACGCCCGAAGUCAGUGACCCAACCUUUCAGGAGGGAGCUGCCGAAGGCGGGACUGAUAACUGGGGUGAAGUCGUAACAAGGUA